UACGGAGGGGGCUAGCGUUGUUCGGAAUUACUGGGCGUAAAGCGCACGUAGGCGGCCCUGUAAGUUAGAGGUGAAAGCCCGGGGCUCAACUCCGGAAUUGCCUUUAAGACUGCAUCGCUAGAAUUGUGGAGAGGUAAGUGGAAUUCCGAGUGUAGAGGUGAAAUUCGUAGAUAUUCGGAAGAACACCAGUGGCGAAGGCGACUUACUGGACACAUAUUGACGCUGAGGUGCGAAAGCGUGGGGAGCAAACAGG
rnacentral:rRNA from 1 species